rnacentral:lncRNA from 1 species
CACUGCAGUCAGCACUCCGCCGUGCCCGGCGUCGCCGACUCAAGAGGAUAUCCUCCAGCUCCUCAUCAGAGUCAAAGGCCUCAGGCGUGAUGGACAAGGAGUGGGGCCGCUGCUUCUGCUCCUCGCCAGUACCGCUGGAGAGUGGCUUGCUCCGCUCACUUGGGGCCAGGCCCUGGGCCUGCAGCAAAGGCCGCAUGCUGCUCCCCACCUUGUGGAUCUCGGAGGGGCUGGGUGGAUGUGGCCCUGUCACCCCUGCACUGUCCAGCUGUUCCACCUCCUGCUGCACGACUCCUGUGAUCUCACUCUGGGAGCUAGAGAUGCCGUCAGAGGAAUAGCCUGUGUCACUGAGGCUCUGUGGGCUCCGAGACGCAUCCUGAGAGUAAGGCUUGCCCACCAGGUCCUGCAGCAGGGUGAAAAGCAGACACUGACUCCCCAUGGCAAAGCUCGUGGUGGGAACCCAAUCCUCCCUGUCAAUCCCAGGACCCUGGGGAAGAGUCUGUCCAUUUCCCAAGGGUUUAGGGCCCGCCACCCACCCUAUCUCCUUCUGGCCUUGAAUAACCUGAAGGUUCCAUGGCAAGCCCAAACCAGCCCUUGGUCUUCAAAGAGAAACUUUACUAGAUCAAAGGGUAUCAAAACCCAGCAAAGCAUCUGACAAGGUGCCAGACACAGCACCAGUGUAAAACCCACAGUCUCCAAGCGUGCCAGAACCUCAUCUAGACUUUCCUUCUACUGUGUCCCUUCCCUCCUGUGUGGCCCCAAGGCACCUGUCCUGAGCCUACAGCCUCAGCCACCCAGGGAGGCAAGCCUUUCCAUAGACUGUCCUGUCUGAAAGCUAGGGUCUCUGGGAAGUGAAUGGGACUGACCUCCGCCUCCCCACCCUUGGGGGCUUCUGGAACAGCCUUGACGACAGGGGUGGCAGGUUCAGCCCUCCUCACCCCACUCUUUACUUUAGGAGUCGCAGGGGUUGGGGUAGUCUCUGGAGGUGGCUUCGGCAUGGGCUCAGCUUUAGUGGGGACUCGGGUCUUCUUUUCCUGGACACUGCUUGGGGUCUUGCUGGGUUCAGAAGCCCUGAGGGGCUUGGCCUGGGGGCUGGCCUUGCUGGGCAGAGGGCUGGCCUUGGUGGAUAGAGGGCUGGCCUUGGCAGGCAGGGGG